rnacentral:rRNA from 1 species
GACGGAGGGGGCAAGCGUUGUUCGGAAUUAUUGGACGUAAAGGGCUCGUAGCGGAUCCGCCAGUCUGACGUGAAAUCUCCACCGCUCACCGGGGAGGGGCCGUUGGAUACUACGGAUCUGGAGUUCGGCAGAGGACCAUGGAAUUUCGGGUGUAGCGGUGAAAUGCGUAGAUAUCGUAAGGAAGACCAGUGGCGAAGGCGGGUCUCUGGACAGUUCCUGACGCUGAGGCACGAAGGCCAGGGGAGCAAACGGG